ACACAUGCAGUCGAACGGUGAAGCAGAGCUUGCUCUGUGGAUCAGUGGCGAACGGGUGAGUAACACGUGAGCAAUCUGCCCCUGACUCUGGGAUAAGCGCUGGAAACGGCGUCUAAUACCGGAUACGAGCUGCGAUCGCAUGGUCAGUAGCUGGAAAGAAUUUCGGUCAGGGAUGAGCUCGCGGCCUAUCAGCUUGUUGGUGAGGUAAUGGCUCACCAAGGCGUCGACGGGUAGCCGGCCUGAGAGGGUGACCGGCCACACUGGGACUGAGACACGGCCCAGACUCCUACGGGAGGCAGCAGUGGGGAAUAUUGCACAAUGGGCGGAAGCCUGAUGCAGCAACGCCGCGUGAGGGAUGACGGCCUUCGGGUUGUAAACCUCUUUUAGCAGGGAAGAAGCGAAAGUGACGGUACCUGCAGAAAAAGCGCCGGCUAACUACGUGCCAGCAGCCGCGGUAAUACGUAGGGCGCAAGCGUUAUCCGGAAUUAUUGGGCGUAAAGAGCUCGUAGGCGGUCUGUCGCGUCUGCUGUGAAAACCCGAGGCUCAACCUCGGGCCUGCAGUGGGUACGGGCAGACUAGAGUGCGGUAGGGGAGAUUGGAAUUCCUGGUGUAGCGGUGGAAUGCGCAGAUAUCAGGAGGAACACCGAUGGCGAAGGCAGAUCUCUGGGCCGUAACUGACGCUGA
rnacentral:rRNA from 1 species